rnacentral:rRNA from 1 species
ACGGGAGGCAGCAGUGGGGAAUAUUGCACAAUGGGGGAAACCCUGAUGCAGCGACGCCGCGUGAGCGAUGAAGUAUUUCGGUAUGUAAAGCUCUAUCAGCAGGGAAGAUAAUGACGGUACCUGACUAAGAAGCUCCGGCUAAAUACGUGCCAGCAGCCGCGGUAAUACGUAGGUGGCGAGCGUUGUCCGGAUUUACUGGGUGUAAAGGGCGCGUAGACGGCUCAGCAAGUCAGAUGUGAAAUACCGAAGCUUAACUUCGGGGCUGCAUUUGAAACUGUUGAGCUUGAGUAUCGGAGAGGAAAGCGGAAUUCCUAGUGUAGCGGUGAAAUGCGUAGAUAUUAGGAGGAACACCGGUGGCGAAGGCGGCUUUCUGGACGACAACUGACGUUGAGGCGCGAAAGUGUAGGGAGCAAACAGGAUUAGAUACCCUGGUA